UUUCUCUUGCUUCAUCCAGCUCUAUGAACGACGUUACUAGCUCAAGCUAUUGUGGGUGAUUACCCAACUUGCAUACACAUCCUAGAGAAGAAGCUCGAAGAGCUCCUAAUAUGGAGCAUGUCUCUUCAUUGGAGCCCUCUACAGAGACUAAAAAAAGUGAAGAUGAUACAAAGACAAAGGAUGCCACUGUUGCAUCGGAGUAUCACAGUAGCAGCAUGAAGAAGGCAAGGUUACAUUCGACACUAGGUGCUCUUCUUAAUGAUCCCAUACUUGCCGAUGUUCCGAAGAAACCAUCACUUUCUGAUGUAGACACUCUUAUAAGCUUGGAACUUGGAAGUGCCAUGCGCAUUACCAUCCUUAAGUUGGACAACACCUCAAUUGAUGUGGCUGUAUUGAAUUCUGCAACGGUCAAAGACUUAAAACAAGCAGUUAGGAAGAAAAUUGAAGAAAUGGAGGAUUCCAAGAUGGGCCAUCGUCACAUUUCUUGGAAGCAUGUCUGGGAAAAUUUUUGCUUCUUAUAUCAUAAUGAGAAGCUGCUUGAUGAUGGUGCUAAACUUCAGGACUAUGGUGUAAGGAACAAUUGUGAGGUGCAAUUUAUUCCCUACAUUAAGUCGAGGGCCUCACAACGACAUUCUAGGGGUAGAAAACACCGCUUCUUUCAUGGUCUGAACAGAGUUGGGUGAACUCGGUACUGUUUCUCUGAUUUGUUAAUUUUAUCCAUAAGUGUGGCUAGAUCACUCCCUUUCUGGGAGAAAACUUUGCUGCGGGCUGAUAAUGGAAUCACGCUGGCCACAGGUAGUAAAGAAACGUAAUACUGUGUUUUUACUAUUCUACGUGCAAUAUUAUUGUUUCUCAGUUUGGUUGCUUUUGCCAACUGAUUAAUUCUUGGGCUCUAAUUUCACAGAAUCCAUGCAAGUUAGCACCAAUUUUGAAGUUUGGAAAAUAGAGAAUGGGUCUUGUGAAAUCCACCCUUGAUGCCUAAUCAUACCUGCUUUCUCUAUAUUUUCUGAAUUCUAUAGCUGUUGUAUGUAUAAGACACUAGAGUUAACUCUGAAGGACUAAAAGCAGAAAAACUUCUCUUUAUUCUUUACUAGGUGGUGUUUGUUCUA